GAGCUUAUAUAUGGCUAAACACAUCUACACACAUCAAGAAAGCAUCUCAGCAUGGCAUACAGAAUAGAGUUUUGCACCGCUGGUGUACUCCUGCUGCUGUCCUUACUGCACACCAGUCAGUCUGCACAUAUUGUCGCUGUGCAGCAAAUGGCAGAGUUGGGUAGAGAUGCGUUGACAUAUCUGGAGAAUGAAGCAAAGUCGGCCCUGAGGAAUCACAUAGGCUCCCACUCAGCUGGAUGCAUUCAGGAGGCAAAGAAGCACGAACACCUCAACUGCAAUCUCAUCUCCACAUUCAGCUCAUACUUGGAGGAGGCAGCUAAUCUAAAGAAUCUCGACAAAGAGCUGUGCAACAAGCUGAAAGCUAUCAUACAGAGUGUUGAAUAUCUAACAGACACAAAGUGCAGUGGAAGUUUAAAAACCUGUGAGCCAGCCUUUCAAGGCAGUAAAGAAGCUCAUAGGAAUUUAGAAAAGCUGAGAAGCCUACUUGUGCUUUACAUACAGUGGAUUGUCAAACCCAUGUAGUGAUGGUACUUAGUGAUAAACGUUCCAUCAUUCCCAUUUCUACAGAUGCUUUCACUAUUUAUUUUUGCUGUUUCAGUUAUUUAAUGCUAGAAAUUAUUUAUUGUUCUUGGUUUUAUUUAUGUAUUUAUAAAUGAAUUCAUUUUUAAUGCAUUACUGCAUUAGAAUAUUUCUGCACAUCAAGAAAAAAUGUAUGAGAGGUUUAAAGAUUUCAGAUCUGUACCUUUAUGCUUGUUUUUAAGCAGUCCCAUUUUUGUGCAAUCUGACAGAUUAUGUCAC
ensembl:lncRNA